UACGUAGGGGGCAAGCGUUGUCCGGAAUCAUUGGGCGUAAAGAGCGCGUAGGCGGCCCGAUAAGUCUGUUGUGAAAGUCGGAGGCUCAACCUUCGAAAGCCGAUGGAUACUGUAUGACUUGAGUACGGAAGAGGAGAGUGGAAUUCCUGGUGUAGCGGUGAAAUGCGCAGAUAUCAGGAAGAACACCCGUGGCGAAGGCGGCUCUCUGGAACGCAACUGACGCUGAGACGCGAAAGCGUGGGGAGCAAACAGG
rnacentral:rRNA from 1 species